UACGUAGGGUGCAAGCGUUGUCCGGAAUUAUUGGGCGUAAAGAGCUCGUAGGCGGUCUGUCGCAUCUGCUGUGAAAACUCAGGGCUUAACCCUGAGCUUGCAGUGGGUACGGGCAGACUAGAGUGCGGUAGGGGAGACUGGAAUUCCUGGUGUAGCGGUGAAAUGCGCAGAUAUCAGGAGGAACACCGGUGGCGAAGGCGGGUCUCUGGGCCGUAACUGACGCUGAGGAGCGAAAGCAUGGGGAGCGAACAGG
rnacentral:rRNA from 1 species